rnacentral:rRNA from 1 species
UACGUAGGGGGCAAGCGUUGUCCGGAAUCAUUGGGCGUAAAGCGCGUGUAGGCGGCUGGGUAAGUCCGCUCUGAAAGCCCGGGGCUCAACCCCGGGAGGCGGGUGGAUACUGCUCAGCUCGAGUCCGGAAGAGGAGUGUGGAAUUCCUGGUGUAGCGGUGAAAUGCGUAGAUAUCUGGAGGAACACCGGUGGCGAAGGCGGCAUCCUGGACCGGUAUUGACGCUGAGGAGCGAAAGCCAGGGGAGCAAACGGG